AAAAAACGUUCAUACGGAGGAUUGGAAGGAUCUCCAAAAACAUCCAGCACAUACCAAGUGAAAGCCAGGAAGACUUGUGUUCCCAGGAGCAGAAAUCUGCAGUAAUUUGAAACUUGGUCAUAUUCAGCAUUCCAGGAUACUGUUGUAUCAGCUUGUCAAAGAAACGUGUGAUAUGUGGAGCACAAAUAUUACGUGACAGCAACCAACUUUGGACAGAAAGAAACAGGCAGAAAGAAACAUUCCCCCCACAACCUGUUGUCUGAAUGCUGAUAACUGAAUUAUGGGCAGUAACAGCAAGAUGAAGAAGCUUUUAUAUUUCUUAUUAGGAUUUGGCUUCGCUCUAUGAAGUUUCUAUUUCUUCUGGAAAAUUAUGGUCUUUUUCGGCUUGGAGUAUUGAUCAGAAAAUUGCUUAUGAUAUGACAGGAGAAAGGAAUUCUGCCUGUAAAUUAAAUCUGUAGAGUAAUAAAAUACACCAACACAGUGUGCAUAUCUUUACAAGCAGCAAGCACUCUGAGACAGAUGCAAUGUAUGUGCCUGAUUUAAUGUCCUGAAAGCAUUUGUGUUCAACCAAAAAAUUACUUUUUCUUCCCUCUCAAGAUUUCUAUUCCUAGACUUAGCUUUGCAAAACAUCUUUCUGAGAUCCUAGACAUCUCUGCCCCAAAGAGAAGUUCAUUCUAAUCCUCACUAUCACAAUCUACCUGCUCUUGUUACCUGUCGGUAAUUCUUUUCUCAGUUUUUUGUGCUUGGAUCAGUCACUUAGGACAGUACCAGCAAAUACGAUCAAAGUCUUGGUUGAAUCUUAUCAGUUUCACUAAUGGGCAAGACUGCUGUCUAUCUGUUUGUCAGGAGGACUUCAAUGAUUUCUCCAGCAAAGUGAAGGGAAAACUAGAUUGGAUUUCUAGAUACUCUUGAAAUAAAAAAUUAACUCCCCCUUCUCUCUCCCACAAAAUAAGUGAGUUAAAGAAGCACACAAUGAACCUUUCAGUUCCUGUUAUGUAUUUGAGAAGUUGCAGAACAUGAGCAGGAAGGAUAAUGAAACUGAAGGGAAGACAGAACAAUUUAAUGCAAAGUAUGUUACCCCAUCCUGUUUUAAUUCAACCCAAAUAGUUCUUUUUUGUGUCCCCUGAAAAGUUGACAGGCCAAAGCCAUGUGAAAACCUAGUAGGCCCCACAUUAGACAGGGAAUUGAACCCCCAGAAGUCUCUUCCAAUGUUAGUUACUCUGUGAUUCAGGGUAUAUUUUCCCAAGACUUUCAGAAACUAGCCUGAGGUGAUAAUAGCUACAAAGAUGCAUGUCAUCACAGAAUAUUUACUGAAUUUAUACUUUCCAUACAUACCAGAAAGAUGAGUGUUGCUUUAACUUACAUUUUUAUUUUGGUAUCAAAAGAGGAAAGUGUUAUAAAGGAAACAUUUACAUCUCUUAUUCACCCCAGAUAUAAAUGGCUGAAUCAUUAGUUUCUAAGCAUUAGCAGGAUAAUAAGCUGGUAGGAAGCUACCAAUACAAAUUUAUGAAACCAAUUCACUUUCUUUAUUUGACAGUAGUUGUUGGCUUAUGAUAGAAGGGGUAAGCAGUAGGCAUAAAUAUUUUGACUUUUGUAAGGUUUUUGAUAAUAUGCCACAUUUCUUUAAGCAAAUGAAAGAACAAAUGUUCUUUAAACUCCUACACAACUCGUUGGAAACUUGUACUCUAGGAAUUAGUGAUUCACCACCAAGCUGUCAAAUGAAAUUGAAAGAGUCUGUCAAGGGUUCGUGCUCAUCAAUGUGUUCAUUAAUAACUUCAGUGAUUAAGCCAAGAAUCUCAGUUAAGUGCCAACCUAGGAAAAUUACAAGCAGUCUGCAGGAAAGAAUUUAAACAUUUAAUUAUCUUGAUGAAUGGGGAAUAAGUCAAAUGCAAUUCAGAAGACCACAUCUAAAUGAAAUUUUGAAAUGGACAUUCAACUGAUUGACACUUGUCUUUAAGCUUGAAUUUUGGAUCCAGGUGGACAUAUGAAGAGGGAUCCCAAAGGUUGGGAUUGCUAUUGGCAAUCCCCAAUAGUCCAGGGUUUAGUCCAUUUACUAGUUAUUUGAUAGAAAAAAAAAUACAUGAGCAAGAUGAAUCAUGCUUUUAGAGUAUUGUACCAGCAUGUACAAUUAUGCCAUCUGUUACUUCUGGAUAACUGCAAGCUCUUGAGAAUGGUAGGAUUCCCACUCAAAAUUGUACUGAAAAAUAGGUGAAAUUAUUCAAAAUCAAUAAAAUUAACCUAAGAAAUAAAAUGCAGGUUAGUUGCAUAUAAGAAAGAAAAAUCAACUUCAGAGAAAGAAACUAAGGAAUAACUAUACAAAUAAUGUGGCAGAAGUAUUUACAUUGAGUCACAAAACAAAUAUUAAUUACUAGGGCAGUACCAAAAAAAAGGCAGAUAUUUUGAGCUAUGUGAACAGAAUACCAGAAGGAAGAUAGUCUCAUUUUUCUGACACUGAGGAGCUGGAACAUUUUGAUUGUCAUUAAUUAAUAUGUAAAGAUGUCAAGAACUGAAUAAAAUCAGGCAACACAUGCUAAGGAUUAUUACCUGUGAGGACAGAACAAAAGGAUUUAGUUAUUUUGGCUUAGAGGACGAGAAGGAGAGUGGCCAUAAUAGCAGUCUCUUAACAUGCAAAAUGAUUCUGUAAUCUGGAUUCCAAUCUUGUUCACAGAAUUUGGAUUAAGAAAUAAUCAGUUUAUUUUAUAUCAGAAGUAUAAAUUAAAUAUUAAGAACUUUCUUUCUGGGAGGAUAGCUGGCAUUGGACCAGAAUGUUUACCAAUGUUAUGGAAAGAAAUGUUUUGGCAAUUUUUAAGAGCAUGUAAUUUGGACAUACUGGAUCCUGCCUCAGGACAUCAGGACAUAGGUACGAACUUGAUGAGUUUAGAUUUGUCUUUCAAUCUUGUUUUUUUGUGUAAUUUGUUUGAAAAUAGAUAACCUCUAGAAAGAAGUAACCAUUAUUUAACAAUCCCACCAGUUAGCCUUUUAGAUUCAUGUUUUGCUUUUUCUUGUAAUUGAUACUGGAAUUAGUUUCUACUCUUUCAGCUUUGUUUCCAGCACUUAGAAAAUCCAGGAGCUCCUGUUUGGCCUUCACAAAGGCACAGUACUCACAUAUUUCAGUUACACGCACAUUUCAUUUGUGUUUAAGAACACAAUGCAUCCAGAAGCCACUUCUGAUUUUGUUUGCAAUAUUUUAGUAUCUUGGUAAUGAAAAUAGUGUAAGAAUAUCACGACACAUUUGGUGGCCACAAGGAAAAAAAUGUGGACACAAACACUGAAAUGUUUGGAAGUUCAUCCUAUUUAUUUAUUUGUGAAUUCAUCCUAGUUAUUUGUGUAGAAGUAUGAAUGUUUAUGGCAAAGUGUUUCUGACUAGAGUCUUAAUAAUGUUUUUAGUACUUUUGUUUAUUUUUAAACUUUUAAACUUUUUUGUUUUAUAUGUUGCUGAUUAUUGCUCUUUAUAUGCAUUGUUGGACUUCAACAGCAUAUUUUGUUCCACAAUAAAAGCAGCGACAGCAACGUGCAGAUGUCUGAACACGUAACUUUACUGACAGAUACUUUUAUCUGUUAACUUUAUGAUUCAAAAAUUUAACUUUAAAAACAUUUUAUGAUAACUAUCCUAGAAUUUAAUUUACUACCACUGUCUCAAGAUUUUGUCAUUAACAGAAAUAAAAUAAGCAUCUGUAAUUGCAUUUGGAAUAAAGAAUGUUUAACUGUCAUAGCUGCAAAACAAGAAGUGAUCCUGCUAAACGCCACUUUCUUUUAUAAUGCUUAAACAAAUUCAGGGCUCCAUAAAAUAUAACAAGUUGCUAAAACAUUAUUCAUAUGUAUAUGUGACUAAUUGAAUGUCAUAAUAAUGAAUAAAGGUUAAGGAAGGUGAAA